rnacentral:sRNA from 1 species
ACGCAACCUGGGCGGCUCCUAGGACGCAGAGACGCCGUCCCCGCCUUCAUUGAGCCCAACGUGCGCUUCUGGAUCACCGAGCGCCAAUCCUUUAUUCGACGAUUUCUUCAAUGGACAGAAUUAUUAGAUCCUACAAAUGUGUUCAUUUCAGUUGAAAGUAUAGAAAACUCGAGGCAACUAUUGUGCACAAAUGAAGAUGCUUCCAGCCCUGCCUCGGCGGACCAAAGGGCAACAGUGCAUCCCGACAGCAGCAACCUGAUCCCCAAGCUUUUUCGACCUGCAGCGUUCCUGCCUUUCAUGGCGCCCACGGUAUUUUUGUCAAUGACACCACUGAAAGGGAUCAAGUCCGUGAUUUUACCUCAGGUUUUCCUCUGUGCCUACAUGGCAGCAUUCAACAGCAUCAAUGGAAACAGAAGUUACACUUGUAAGCCACUAGAAAGAUCAUUACUAAUGGCGGGAGCCGUUGCUUCUUCAACUUUCUUAGGAGUAAUCCCUCAGUUUGUCCAGAUGAAGUAUGGCCUGACUGGCCCUUGGAUUAAAAGACUCUUACCUGUGAUCUUCCUCGUGCAAGCCAGUGGAAUGAAUGUCUACAUGUCCCGAAGUCUUGAAUCCAUUAAGGGGAUUGCGGUCAUGGACAAGGAAGGCAAUGUCCUGGGCCAUUCCAGAAUUGCUGGGACAAAGGCUGUUAGAGAAACGCUAGCAUCCAGAAUAGUGCUGUUUGGGACCUCAGCUCUGAUUCCUGAAGUCUUCACCUACUUUUUUAA